GCAGAACAUUCACAUUUCCCGCAGUGCAUUCAAUCAGUAAACCGGGGAGCGUGCAACUCAAACGUCAAAACAAAUGUUGGGAAAAUUCACAUCGAAUCAUGUGCAGGUGUAUCAUCAGUAUUCGCGUACAGUCUCACUGAAAAAGCCAAAAAAGAGCUUGCAAACAGACAUGCCAUAAAAAACAACUGAUACGCCUGCUGUCAACUGCAACAUAAAUAUUGAGAGCGUAAAAAACACAGCAAGCAAGAAAUACAUUGGAACAAUUUUCAAAUCCAAGAAAGCACAGCACAACGUAAAGAAGAAGCAUUCAAUUUUUGGAAAUCAAAUGAAAGCUGUUCAUAUGGCACCGAUCAUUUCUGUGUAUCAGCAAAAAAAAUUCUCGAAUCUCUUUUAACUUAACUACUCCUAUGCAAACAAGCUACUUUUAAAGAUAACUACAACUACAACAAAGCACAUAUCGAACUGGUAUCUUGCAAAAAAAAAAAAAAAAGUUUGGAAAAAUAACAGCGAAAUCCUUGCCACUAUCGUCAUUGGACCAGUCAACAGCUGCAAUAAAAGCCAACCACAACAACAACAGCCGCCUAAGUCAUUACAAAACUUGUUUCGUUUCGCAUUUUUGCAAUACUCGUAGCGUUUUAGUCAACACGAAAAGUCGCUGCGAAAAUUCCGCAAUAUUCAGUGCUUUGGCGUUGGAAUAUGUUGAAGCAGAAGCGACAAGUAAAACAGCAGCCAAAAGCAAAGCCGAUACCAUGGGGACUGAAAAAAAUCUGUUGGGGGCUGAUAAACAUAACCGUGCCCAGG
rnacentral:lncRNA from 1 species